rnacentral:rRNA from 1 species
UACGUAGGGUGCAAGCGUUGUCCGGAAUUAUUGGGCGUAAAGAGCUCGUAGGCGGUUUGUUGCGUCGGCUGUGAAAUCCCGAGGCUCAACCUCGGGUCUGCAGUCGAUACGAGCAAACUAGAGUGUUGCAGGGGAGACUGGAAUUCCUGGUGUAGCGGUGAAAUGCGCAGAUAUCAGGAGGAACACCGGUGGCGAAGGCGGGUCUCUGGGCAACAACUGACGCUGGAGGAGCGAAAAGCCGUGGGGGAGCGAACAGG